GUGAGUCAUCGAAUCUUUGAACGCACAUUGCGCCCCCUGGCAUUCCGGGGGGCACACCUGUCCGAGCGCCGUUUUGUAGACUGAGGCUAAGCCUUGCGAUGGCCGGCUCCGUGAGGGGAGCGGCCGAAACGGAUGGGCGCCGGGGCGCGGCGAGCAGCGUGACACGAGAGCGCGGCUGGCGGCGGGACCGGUGGCCGGUUGCGAAGAAAGCGCAGCUUUGGCCUCGGAUCAGGUGGGGAUACCCGCUGAACUUAAGCAUAUCAAUAAGCGGAGGA
rnacentral:misc_RNA from 1 species